UACAGAGGUCCCGAGCGUUGUUCGGAUUCACUGGGCGUAAAGGGUGCGCAGGUGGGCUGGUAAGUUCGAUGUGAAAGCCCCGGGCUUAACCCGGGAAAGGCAUUGGAUACUACUGGUCUGGAGGAUUGGAGGGGGGACUGGAAUUCUUGGUGUAGCAGUGAAAUGCGUAGAUAUCAAGAGGAACACCGAUGGCGAAGGCAGGUCUCUGGGCUGACACUGACGCUCAUGCACGAAAGCGUGGGGAGCAAACAGG
rnacentral:rRNA from 1 species